UCCAAACCGCAUUCCAACGGACAGCAGUAAAAAAUUACCCCACACAUACGCACCACAGGCGUUCCAGCGAAGCAGAAUGAGAAAACGGUGGGAAAAAGGAAAUUCGAAAGGAAAGAUUAGAGCCGCCUCCGAGCAGCCGAGCGGCGCCGCCGCGGAGGAGAGGCUGCGCCGUGCAGCCGUGAGCACCAGAGAAGAGUACACCACCGGUCCGGGAACCUGUUGCCGUGAACCGCCGCGGCGGCAUGGAAGGAAUACCGCUGCGGAUUGGGGAGGAGCGCCGUCGCGGGCCUAGGGAGAGCGCCGCCCGGACCAAGCUCCCUGCUCGAUCGAUCAAGGACUCUCGAUUCCGGCCGCCUGCAGCACAUCAGGCCAUCAGCUAACAGAAUGGCAGCACUGGGCAAAGCUAGCGGUAUGUGAGAGGCUCUUGAUUUGCUUAUAUCUGGUUCUGCUAUUAAGUUACUGAAGCAAGGUAUGUUCCUGUAUAUUGUGGUGGCGUCAUAUAGAUUUGCCAAAGUAUAGUUUCUUCAAAUUGUGAAGUGAAUCCUAAUGUCUCAAACUCUGGUCUUGUAGUAUGUUCUUGUAUAUUGUGUUGGCCUCGUACAAAUUCGGAUAAAAUAGCAUGUACAUAAAGGAAACUACAUGAACAAAGUUUUUAAUCUGUUUGGACUAAGAAUAUUGUUAACAUUCACACGCCUAAUCUAAUAAGUGUCCUUAUUCUGGUUGA